rnacentral:lncRNA from 1 species
CAUGUCCAGUAAAUAGAGUCUUGGUCAUUUUUUUCAUGAGACAAGAUUCACAAGUUCCAUAUGAUUCAUAAUCAUAAGGAUCAAAAAAAUUAUCUUUGUAUACCUUGUUAAUCUUUGACUCAUUUAUAUGGCCAAGUCAGCAGUGCCAAAGGUAUGUGACAUUUACAUCCUCUCUCUUUUUUUUCUUCAUAUUAUCAACAUCAUAUUAUCAUUAAGUGAAAGAAAUAUAAGACCAUUAUCAAUAAAAGUACUUUCAUAAUUUUAUUAGAAAAUAUAUAGAACAAUCAUUAUUCUUUGCAAUUAUUU